CACUGGAUUCCCACAGAAUUCCCAGAUUUUUCCCCACAGAAUUCCUGGAAUUUUCCCCACAGAAUUCCUGGAAUUUUCCCCACAGAAUUCCCACAAAUUUUCCCCACAGAAUUCCCGGAAUUUCCCCACUGGAUUCCCAGAAUUUUUCCCACAGAAUUCCCAGAAUUUUUUCCCAGAAUUCUCAGAAUUUUUCCCACACAAUUCCCAGAAUUUUCCCCACAGAAUUCCUGGAAUUUUCCCCACAGAAUUCCUGGAAUUUUCCCCCAGAAUUCCCGGAAUUUUCCCACACAAUUCCUGGAAUUUUACCCCACUGGAUUCCCACAGAAUUUUCCCCACAGAAUCCCUGGAAUUUUCCCCACAGAAUUCCCAGAAUUUUUCCACACAAUUCCCGGAAUUUCCCCCACAGAAUUCCUGGAAUUUUUCCUACAGAAUUCCCAUAAUUUUUCCCACAGAAUUCCUGGAAUUUUUCCUGCUGGAUUCCCAGAAUUUUUCCCCCAGAAUUCCCGCAAUUUAUCCCGCUGGAUUCCCACAGAAUUCCCAGAAUUUUCCCCACAGAAUUCCUGGAAUUUUCCCUCAGAAUUCCUGGAAUUUCCCCACAGAAUUCCCAGAAUUUUCCCACAGAAUUCCCAGAAUUUUUUCCCACAGAAUUCCCGGAAUUUUUCCCGCUGGAUUCCCACAGAAUUCCUGGAAUUUCCCCCACAGAAUUCCCGGAACUUUUCCCACAGAAUUCCCUGAAUUUUCCCCACAGAAUUCCUGGGGUUUUUCCCACAGAAUUCCCGGAAUUUUUCCCGCUGGAUUCCCAGAAUUUUCCCCACAGAAUUCCCAGAAUUUCCCCCCCAGAAUCCCUGAAAUUUUCCCACAGAAUUCCCAGAAUUUUCCCACACAAUUCCCGGAAUUUUCCCCACAGAAUUCCCAGAAUUUUUCCUGCUGGAUUCCCAGAAUUUUACCCCACUGGAUUCCCCCAGAAUUCCCGGAAUUUUUCCCACAGAAUUCCUGGAAUUUUCCCACACAAUUUCCGAAAUUUUCCCACACAAUUCCUGGAAUUUUUCCCACAGAAUUCCCGGAAUUUUCCCCACAGAAUUCCCGGAACUUUUCCCACAGAAUUCCCGGAAUUUUCCCACACAAUUCCCAGAAUUUUUUCCCACAGAAUUCCUGGAAUUUUUCCCACAGAAUUUCUGGAUUUUUUCCCACAGAACUCCUGGAAUUUCCCCACAGAAUUCCCAGAAUUUCCCCACACAAUUCCCAGAACUUUUCCCCCAGAAUUCCCAGAAUUUCCCCCCAGAAUUCCCGCAUUUCCCCCCAGAAUUCCCGCAUUUCCCGGCCUCACCUUUCCGGGAUUCCCAGGGGAUCCUCCUGAGGCUCUGGCGGAGCCUCUGGAAUUCCCAGCCCAUGGAAUCACUCAGGGCCACGGCGUCGAAUUCCAGGAAUCCCGAAAUUCCCAAAUUUCCAGAGGGAUCCUGAGCCAGGAGAAAUCCCAAGGGGGGGCACCUGGAUGGGGAAAACCCCAAAAUUCCAUCAAAAUCUCCAGGAUUUUCCCAUUUUCCCCCAAAUUUCUCCUGAUUUCCCCUCAUUUUUCCCACAAUUCCUUCCUCAAGUUUUCCAGAAUUCCCAUUUUUUAUCCCCCACAAUCUCC
ensembl:lncRNA